GAGCACGUAGGUGGGUUUGUAAGUCAGACGUGAAAGCCUUCUGUUCAACGGAAGAAUUGCAUCUGAAACUACAAACCUUGAGUGUAGGAGGGGGGAAUGGAACUUCUGGUGGAGCGGUGAAAUGCGUAGAUAUCAGAAGGAACGCCGGCGGCGAAAGCGAUUCUCUGGCCUAUUACUGACACUCAGUGUGCGAAAGCUAGGGGAGCAAACGGGAUUAGAUACCCCGGUAGUCCUAGCCGUAAACGAUGGGCACUAAGUAGAGGGAAUUACCGAUGUUCUCUCUGCCGUAGCUAACGCAUUAAGUGCCCCGCCUGGGGAGUACGGCCGCAAGGCUAAAACUCAAAAGAAUUGACGGGGGCUCGCACAAGCGGUGGAGCAUGUGGCUUAAUUCGAUGCAACGCGAAAAACCUUACCGGGGCUUGACAUGGUAGAAGUAGGAACCCGAAAGGGUAACGAACGGUAUCCAGUCCGUGACUAUCACAGGUGUUGCAUGGCUGUCGUCAGCUCGUGUCGUGAGACGUUGGGUUAAGUCCCCUAACGAGCGAAACCCUUGUUUUUAGUUGCCAGCGGGUUGUGCCGGGCACUCUAGAAAGACUGCCGUCGUCAAGACGGAGGAAGGUGGGGAUGACGUCAAGUCAUCAUGGCCCUUAUGCCCCGGGCUGCACACGUGCUACAAUGGCCGGUACAAACGGAAGCGAAGCCGAGAGGUGAAGCGAAUCC
rnacentral:rRNA from 1 species